GCCGGGAUAGUUCAGUGGUAGAACAGGGCCUUGGUAAGACUCAAACCUGAGUCCGAUUCUCAGUCCCGGCU
rnacentral:tRNA from 1 species